rnacentral:rRNA from 1 species
GAUGAACGCUAGCGGCAGGCUUAACACAUGCAAGUCGAGGGGUAGAAGCAGCUUGCUGCUUUGAGACCGGCGCACGGGUGCGUAACGCGUAUGCAAUCUGCCUUUUACAGAGGGAUAGCCCAGAGAAAUUUGGAUUAAUACCUCAUAGUAUGUGAGAAUCGCAUGGUUUUCACAUUAAAGUUCCAACGGUAAAGAUGAGCAUGCGUCCCAUUAGCUAGAUGGUAAGGUAACGGCUUACCAUGGCGACGAUGGGUAGGGUCCUGAGAGGGAGAUCCCCCACACUGGUACUGAGACACGGACCAGACUCCUACGGGAGGCAGCAGUUGAGGAAUAUUGGACAAUGGGCGCAAGCCUGAUCCAGCCAUGCCGCGUGACAGGUAUGACGGUCCUAUGGAUUG